rnacentral:rRNA from 1 species
CACGUAGGGGGCGAGCGUUGUCCGGAAUCAUUGGGCGUAAAGAGCUCGUAGGCGGCUUAGUAAGUCGGGUGUGAAACCCCCAGGCUCAACCUGGGGACGCCACCCGAUACUGCUAUAGCUAGAGUCCAGUAGGGGAGUGCGGAAUUCCCGGUGUAGCGGUGAAAUGCGCAGAUAUCGGGAGGAACACCAGCGGCGAAGGCGGCACUCUGGGCUGGUACUGACGCUCAGGAGCGAAAGCGUGGGUAGCGAACAGG